AGUUCUCAAAUAUAAUGUAGAUUAGCGUUUGAGUAGCAGAUAAGGUCAAAAGUAAGACAAGUAGUACUGCUAGUGUUAAUGAAUAACGUAUCGAUCAAUACGUAAUAACUAAGGCAAAAACAUGCGACUCGUCUGAGAAUCACCGCCAUUGGAUAACUUCUUCUUGUAAUGUUACAGGCAACUGAUGAUGGACGGAUAUAACACUGGGAAAGAAAAACUAAUCAAACCAACAGAUUUCACCUCACCAGCAAUUUCCAAAAAACCCCAGGAUGACUUGGUGCCUCCAUCAUAUUUUGCAUCAAGUGUCCAGGCUACUACACUGCCUGCAAUGGAUCAAAUCUCAGACACACGACAGUGUGUCUCCUGGAUGAACUCUAGUGUCCCACCAGCUUUACCGAAAGAUCCAUGGCGUGUUUUCACUCAGAGCCAACAAGACAUAUCAACGCUGAGUAAAGAAAAUCAGUGCACCAGGGUGCUGCGAGGACACAACAUAGGAGGGGACACUCCAGAGGAUAACCCGUCAGAUUUGAGGACAAGAUCCACCGAGAGAGGCGAGCAGCCGUCCAGAUGGGAAAUAGAGUGGUGUCUGGAGGCUGAAAAGCACAAAGCAGAGGCUGAGCGGUUGACAGAGCAGAUGGAGACCCUGAAGGAGGCUGAGCAGAGAUAUCGGGAAGAGAUGAGAGUCAAAGACAAUGCCAACAGCAGGCAGAGUCACGAUUUGGAGACAAUGCAUCAAGAAAUAAGCAAGUUGAGGACUGAACACAGCCAAAUGAAAGAAGAGCUCAUACACUGUCGUGCACAGAAGGAGACAAUAAGCUCAAAGCUACAAAUACUUCAGAGGGAGUCUGAUGAGGAACUUGUGAAGCUGAGGAAGGAGAGGGAAGCUAAAGGAGAGAUGAGCAGGCAGCAGGAGGCAGAAAACCAGUCUUUUAGAUUGUCACAGCAAUUGCAACAAAUGCAAGAGGAAGAGAUGAGACUCUUGCGCGACUCGCCCUACGUGGAGUUAGAAGCGGCCAAAAAAUGUAAUAUUGAACUGCAGAGCAAAUUUCAGACUGUGAACCAAGAGGCGCUGCAGCUGAAAAGCAGUCUGACAAUGGUGUCUGGGGAGAGAGAUGAGCUAAAGGAACAACUAAGACAAACCAUACAAGCCAAUAAGACACUAUCGGAAACUUUGCAUAGCCUACGGAAUUACAUUGGCCAGCCGGUCAACGACAAAGGAGAGUUGGAAGAUGUUGAGAGGCUGACCAAAGAGAAUUCAGCAUUACAGAGAACCGCAGAGCUUUUGACUGUUAGAUUUAACUCCAUGAGUGAGAUUGUCUCCCUCCAAGAAAAUAAGAUGCUGAAGGAGGCCUCAAAAGACCCACUGGUGACAAAACGACCUGAUGGCCUCCAUGCGCUUCACCUGUGGAGGAACAAGGUGUUCAAACUGAGCGUCCAGCUCCGCUUGAAGGACGUGGAGCUGCGACGCAAGAGAGAACAGCAUUUCUCACAGCUCAAAUUCAUGGAGCAACAGCUUCAGGAGGAGCAGUAUCGCACAACUCUCCUCCAGCGUAAUCUCGACGCCAAGAUAGCUGAGCUGGACCAGGAGAAAGUGGAAAAGGAGACUUUGCGACAUAACUUGGCACAGGCUUGCAAAGAGAUCCAACAGCUGAAAGAAUGUCGUCGAAGCAAAGAGGCGGAAAUGAAAAGCACAACAGAGGCUGUGCACGGGUUUAGUCUUGCAUUUCACCAUCGCAUGGCAAAAGUGGAUGCCGCACAAGCAAAACUCAACACCCUUGGUCAGAGGUUGAAUUUCGCCAGAGGCCGAGUAGAGACAGUCCAAGCUUUGUUCAUGAGGAGAGUUGCUCUGCACAAAGUCCAGCAGGCCAGUAAACAGACAGAACAGGCUGCUGAGAGCAUUAGACAUUUGCAGACAGAACUUAGUUUGGAGUGCAAAGAGAACACCAAACUCAGGCAUGAGCUCAAAAGAACCCCAAAGUUGAUUGAAAAGGCAUUGGCCGACAUGAAAGAACAGUAUGAGAACAAGCUGGGACAGAAGCAGCAGGAGCUAGAGCAGAUCUGCGUGGAGGUCCAGCAUGUCAUGUCUGGCAGAGAGGAGGUCCAGCAGAAUCUGCAGCAGGUCUUGGACCAGUUAGAGGACAGCAAAGUGACGCAGGAGAAACUCCAGUGUGAACUGCUCAGCCAGAAGGAGCACAGCGAACAAGUCCUGGAGGCACGGAUAUUAGAGAUCGAGAGCCGCUGUGCUGAAAAGCUGAGCGAGAUGGAGGUCCAAGUUAAUAAGGCUGAGAGAGAGCACACCAAAGCAGUUAAGACUUUAGCGCAGUUUGAGGUACUAAGGAGGGACAGAGAAAGCGAAGAGAUCGAGCGGCACAGACGCCAACUGCAGUUUGUUCCAGGCUGUCGUGGCGCAGAGAGCGCCGAGCACUGACAUUCCCAGAGCUUGCACCUCAGCUCUGCAAAAUGUUGCAGGAACUCUUUCAGACAAGAGUGGCUUUACGACUGGAGAACAAGAAGUGAGAUUCCGUACUCUUUUGAAGGAUCUCCAGGUGCUCAGUGUUGCGGUGCUAAACAGCUCAGAGGACUCUGAAGAGGAGGAGCACAGCUGAUUGUGAGGAUUCAUCAGUGAACACAUUUUUAAUUUGUGAUGCAAACCUUGAUGACAUACUUUCCACAACCAGAGCCGCACAAAUAUUGUGGUUGUUGCGGUGGAGGACUCUAUUGCAUCUUUGCCAUAUUUUGGUGACCAUACAACGAUAUUGUCAAUGAAGACCUAAAGCUGAGAAUUAUUUUUUGUCUUUGGAAAUGCAUAUUUUUUCCCAUGGAAACCUUGUAUUUGUUUGCAUUAGUGUCCCAUGACUAUGUUGUCUAUUACUGUUUUUUGCCAUUUAACUGAAUCAUAAUAAUGUCGGUGGCAUGAACCUGGCUUUCAAUCAAUGACAAAGUGUCAGGUGAUAUAAAUAAAGUAUUUAAUAACAAUAAAAAGGUGCUCAAUCGUAGUAGCAUAAUAUACAAAAAUGCAAAUGACCAAAACAACAAAACUCACCUUCCUACAGGAGAAGCACCAAUAAGUACGCAGUAGUGUCUGCAAAAGAUGCUAGCUGAAAUUCCAAACUGCAUCAAAUAACCCUGAUUGCCAGCAAGUCCCAGCUUUGCACCAUGCUUUUACCGCUUUGAGUAAAGGCUCCACCAACAGUGCAGAACAGGAACAGGAAAUACCAAAAUAAGAGACAGUACACGAAACAAAGUUUUUAUUGACAUGUGUUUUUAUUCGUUUUAUCGAGUUGAAUGGUGUUAUGGUCUUUCAAUGAGAUGAUCAAAAGGCUUUUAAAAAGCAGUGAUUUGUGUGAUCGGAACAUAUUCAAACCACCAGUCAAACUAGCAGGUAUUUCAGUUUGGGCACAUAGGGCCCUUUAGUAUUGACAUUUGUGUGUGGAUUGGAUUAGAUCUUGCAGAAGAAAAGGCAAUAAAAUUGGACCUUGGUAUGCAAAGGUGAUGGCCCUAUCUGUGAGAAGAGAGUAAAUGUUUAUCUUAAUGUAAACAUCUAAGAUACGACCUGCAUCUGUUGUCUUUCCAGAAUCCAGACACUUACACACGAACAUCUACUUUUAUGGUCAGGAUGCGCUCUCCUGACCUAGCGCACACGCACAGGCAGGAUGUAGGAAUAUAAAACUGAUGGUUUGGCUUCUCCAAGUUAGGAGUCCUUCAUUUUU